GAUGAACGCUAGCGGCAGGCUUAAUACAUGCAAGUUGAGGGGCAGCAUGAUAUACGCGAGUAUAUUGAUGGCGACCGGCGGACGGGUGAGUAAUAGGUAGGAGACCUACCUCAUACAGGGGGAUAGCAUAGAGAAAUCUGUGGUAAUACCCCAUGAGGUUAUAUGAAUAGAGGCAUAUAAUCAAAGCAUAAGCGAUUAUGCGGUAUGAGAGGGGCCUACUGACCAUUAGCUAGUUGGUGAGGUAAGGGCUCACCAAGGCGAAGAUGGUUAGGGGUUUUGAGAGAGAGACCCCCCACAUUGGAACUGAGAGACGGUCCAGACUCCUACGGGAGGCAGCAGUAGGGAAUAUUGGGCAAUGGGCGAAAGCCUGACCCAGCCAUGCCGCGUGAAGGAAGACGGCCUUAUGGGUUGUAAACUUCUUUACUACGCGAAUAGAGGUUAGUACGAGAUACUAAUAGGAAGGUAGUGUAGUAAAAAGCAACCAGCUAACU
rnacentral:rRNA from 1 species